GCAUUCUCCUGAACUAGGGGCACACUUUCUCCUCUCUAAUCCAUUUUGUCCCUUAAGAGAGUAAAUACAAAUUGAAGGAUUCUACUCCAAGGAGUCCCCACCAAGCCUGCUUCUGGACAUUCCAGAACCAACAAAUGAAAUGUUUCUUUCCUUUCAGGACACCCUGCCUUGGUUGCUGUAUUAAUUCACUACGGGGUUGGGUUGAAUAGGUCGCUUUAUUCAGGCAUGACUCCUCACGGGUCUCUGCUGUUGCUGCUAUUGCAUCUGGUAGUGAAAGAGAUCAUUGAUGGCUCUCCUCAGCCUUGUGACAUGGUCUGCUCUGUCUCUGACAAUCAUUUGUAUCAUGUCAGGAAAGAAUAAACAAAGAGAGAGGAGAAACAGAGGCAUCCUUUGUUCAUAGUCACAUGAUAGCUGAGUGGCCUAAAAAUGAGUUGUAGAAAGUCAGAGGCCACCAAGCGCUAUUCCUCUCUCAUCACUCCAAAACCUCCGGGGAAGAGAGAGUGAGGGAUGAUCCUUUUCUCCUUUUGUGUGAGCAUUCAUUUCUGCCUCCGGAGAUAACUAAAGAAUUCCUUUGCUACUCAGUCAGCGAAGAAGAAAUAAUCAGAAUGGUUUUGUGUGUUCUCCAAUGGAGGCUCCAGCUUCUUUUUGCUCAAGCCCAGAAGCAAGCUCGCCAAAUUUCUACAUAUUGGCUUCAGGCCAAGCAGGCGGGCUUUACUCCCUUCGCACCGCGUUUGUGCCCACAUUCGCCCGCGUUGGCGAGUGCUCGGCUCACACACGCCGCCGGAGGGCGAUCUGGGCCAGAUGCUCCCUGGAUGUCGGCAGGGCGGCACAGACGGGGACAUCUGGACCUGGAAUCCCGAAGACCCGAGUGCGAAUGUGCCCUCAGAAGUCUCCUCCCUUUGUGAGCCCCGUGGGUCACGCCAUCUCCCUCGGGCUCAAUUUCCCCAAAUGGCCAGAACACCCUCGGACUCUGACCUGUGGCCUGACCGCGGGCGUGGCUCCAUCUCCUGGUGGAAGGGAGGCUCCAGGAGCGGGCCUUGGGGUCUGGUUCUGACCCCUCCCCCCUUUCAUUUGGGUCUCCAGCAUCCCUGACCUCCUUAGCCUGAGCCGUUCCCAGAGGUGUGGAGAGCUUCAUUCGGGCAUCCCGUCUUCAUUGCGUGCCCGCUCCGGGCUGGGCAUCGGGCAGAGCAAAGGCAGCUCCUGCCCAGAGAGCUCCCAGGCCAAGAGGGGGCAGAGACAGCCUCGCUGUACCGGACUCCGGUGCGCUGGGCGGCGCCUUAG
rnacentral:lncRNA from 1 species